rnacentral:lncRNA from 1 species
AUGAAGUACUGUCAGAACCGUGGUGCCAGUGGUGCCAGUGGUGCUCAGAGCACCUUUCUAAAAAGGUGUCUAAUCUCUGCCCAAUUCCAACCCGUGUUUCUAGCAUCUUGUUCUAGUACUUCGGGCGAGAUUACAAUUUGUGGGUGCUCUGGAAUUCUUUGUUCUCGGAGACUACUGCUCCGUGAGCCCCUGCCUAUCCUCCUGCCUCCCACCAGCGAUGAUCAAAACCUUAGUGCAAUCCGAACGGCUUCCUUCCCACCUUCGGGGCAAGUCCAGGGACCACAAGCCGCCAGAUGGCUGCAUUCUUUAUGUGCAAACCAGACUGCGGGACACCAACGCCAUUCCUGCCUCCCGGGGACCUCGCCGCCUCCCCCACGCAGGUGCGCGGCGUGGCCCGGGGCCCCACCGCCGAGCCUGCGACCUGUCAGUCCCGCACGUGCGGCGCCAACCCCCGCGCCCAACGCCCGUCUCCCGCCCGCCGCGCGGCGCCGGAGUGUGCGGGCGGACAAAGCGGCCGGGCCCGGCCAGGCCCCCGCGGACCGACGAGCGGGAGGCUGCGGGGCGCCCCGCGGGGGCCGAGGGGGCAGGGUCGGGGACCCCCGGGCCGCGCGCCCCCCGCCAGCCGGCCGGCUCCCCGCACAAAAUGGAGCCGGCCCGGGGCGCCGCCGCCGAGAGGGGGGCCCGGCCGUGCCCCGCCGGCAGCCCUCUUCGGCCUCGGGCUCGGAGCUCCACAGCGGCGAGCGGGAGGCGGCCUGGCUCGCGUCCUGCCGCUCCCCGGCCGGCGCACAAAGAACCGCGCUGCGGCCCCGCGUCCGCUCCCGGCCGGGCAGGCCCGCAGCGGGAGCGGCCUCGCAGGCGCCGGCCCGGCCCGGGUCCGGGCUCCGGCCGGGCAGGCGGCGGGAGGCGAGUGCCCCCCGCCGCGGCGGCGUUGGCGGCGGGGACGGCGCUGGGGGACAGCUAGAGUUACAGACAGUGAGAGAGACAGAGAAAGGUCUUCCUUCCGUUGGUUCACUCCCCAAAUGGCUGCUACAACCAGCGCUGCGCCAAUGA